AACGAACGCUGGCGGCAGGCCUAACACAUGCAAGUCGAGCGCCCCGCAAGGGGAGCGGCGGACGGGUGAGUAACGCGUGGGAACGUACCCCUUUCUACGGAAUAGCCUCGGGAAACUGGGAGUAAUACCGUAUAAGCUCUUCGGAGGAAAGAUUUAUCGGGAAGGGAUCGGCCCGCGUUGGAGUAGGUAGUUGGUGGGGUAAUGGCCUACCAAGCCGACGAUCCAUAGCUGGUUUGAGAGGAUGAUCAGCCACACUGGGGCUGAGACACGGCCCAGACUCCUACGGGAGGCAGCAGUGGGGAAUCUUAGACAAUGAGCGCAAGCCUGAUCUAGCCAUGCCGCGUGAGCGAUGAAGGCCUUAGGGUUGUAAAGCUCUUUCAGUGGGGAAGAUAAUGACUGUACCCACAGAAGAAGCCCCGGCUAACUCCGUGCCAGCAGCCGCCGUAAUAC
rnacentral:rRNA from 1 species